CGAUGUUGUUUUCGUUCAGACAAAGCCCGCCUACUUUGCGCUGUGAUUGGCUAGCAGGAUCGCGCGCCCCAAGCUGUGAUUGGUUAGAAAGGUCUCCCAUCCUGCGCUGUGUUUGGCUGUUGCUCACGCGCUCUGUGCUGUGAUUGGAUACUGAGAUUCCGCGUCCUGCGUGUGCACUUCAAAGCUGUGUGGCAGGACCUUGAUUGCAUCUCAUAGCCUCCUGCAAUGGUGUGUUGCCCCACCUGUCAGACAUCAACACAUCACCAGGUCAAAGUGUGCAGUUGGCUCCUGUGUUCUCCAUCAGAAACUUGAUGACCUCCAGGUGCCCUUCUGAGGCAGCCACAUGAAGGGCAGACCUUCCAUCAUAAUCCACGGCAUUCACAUCUGCUCCAGAGAGGAAGUACCUGCCGAGGACAGCACCUGUCUGAAAGGAGUCCGGAUGUCAAAACUGUGCAGCUGGAAGGCAGACACCAGCUCCUGAAACCAAACAAGGAAUUUCCAUGUGCAUCCAACUCUGGUGACCAGCACAUGAGGCCCAGCACUCCAGGGAUGACUAUCAGCACCACACCAGAGCUGCUGGAUUUGGCAGGCACAGAUGUCUACAGAGUAGGGAGUGUAAAAGCCACUAUAUCUUUACAGAUUAUGAAAGAAUUCCAUUAAUUUUCUAAAUUUAUGCUCAGCUAAAUCAUUAAGAUGUAAAUAGUCAUUCAGAGUGGUUUGAUGUGAAAUGAUCAGUUCAAGAAAAACUUACCCAGUCACAAUUGUUUACAUUGGUGGUGAAAGGAACUGGAUAUCUGAAGUGGUAAAUGCCUCCUAUCACCUCUACUGUAUAGAAAUCUGUCUCAGGAUGUUUCUCCACAAUGAACCGUUUCACACCAAACCACUCUGAAAAUGACUUUGUUUGCACCUGUAUGAUUGAAUUAUGUAAAAAUUU